rnacentral:tRNA from 1 species
GGUUUGUGGCUCAGUGGUAUAGCGCUUGCCUAGUAUGUGUGAGGCCCUGGGUUCCAUCCUCAGCACCA